GGGUUGUGAGGUUAAGCGACUAAGCGUACACGGUGGAUGCCCUGGCAGUCAGAGGCGAUGAAGGGCGUGCUAAUCUGCGAUAAGCGCCGGUAAGGUGAUAUGAACCGUUAUAACCGGCGAUACCCGAAUGGGGAAACCCAGUGUGAUUCGUCACACUAUCAUUAACUGAAUCCAUAGGUUAAUGAGGCGAACCGGGGGAACUGAAACAUCUAAGUACCCCGAGGAAAAGAAAUCAACCGAGAUUCCCCCAGUAGCGGCGAGCGAACGGGGAGGAGCCCAGAGCCUGAAUCAGCAUGUGUGUUAGUGGAAGCGUCUGGAAAGGCGCGCGAUACAGGGUGACAGCCCCGUACACAAAAGCGCAUAUGCUGUGAGCUCGAUGAGUAGGGCGGGACACGUGGUAUCCUGUCUGAAUAUGGGGGGACCAUCCUCCAAGGCUAAAUACUCCUGACUGACCGAUAGUGAACCAGUACCGUGAGGGAAAGGCGAAAAGAACCCCGGCGAGGGGAGUGAAAAAGAACCUGAAACCGUGUACGUACAAGCAGUGGGAGCCCCACCACUAAGCCAGUGGUGAACUCCACAUACGCAUCCUUUGCUGAGGAGACGGUUAACGGAGCGAAAGCGACGUUCAACCUCAAAAGAAGCAGAGGGGGCUUAGUGGUGGGGUGACUGCGUACCUUUUGUAUAAUGGGUCAGCGACUUAUAUUCUGUAGCAAGGUUAACUGUAUAGGGGAG
rnacentral:rRNA from 1 species